rnacentral:rRNA from 1 species
AUGAAAUUUUAUACCUGUCGGGAAAAAAAGGGUGGUACUGCUAGACCACUUGGUAUGAUGAGAGAAUUUCGUGAAUGCCUAAUGGAUUGCGGGUUGGAUGACCUUGGCUAUACGGGUGACCCGUUCACUUGGAGGAGAGGCAAAAUACGUGAACGUCUUGAUCGGGGGGUCCGCAAUAUAGCAUGGGCAAACAAAUUUCCACAAGCGGCAGUAAUCAAUGAAGAACAUGUUCAUUCUGACCACCGCCCAAUCGUACUGGAUACGGAUUACUUGGAUGAAAAAUUCUUUAAACGACCAGAAGGUCAGGUUAAACAGUUUGAGGCGAGGUGGUUGAAGGAAGAGAAGGUCAUUGAAAUUGUUAAGGCAUCUUGGGAGAAAGCAAGACUUGCAGGUAUUGGACCGUCACUUGAUGAUCGUACCAGAGCAGCACAUGCCGAUCUACAUACCUGGGACCGGGAAACUCUAAAGGGACCAAAGGUGAGAAUUAGGAAAUUAAAAAAAGAAUUGGAGAGCCUAGGCGGGGCCCGUUAA